rnacentral:rRNA from 1 species
GACAGAGGUGCCAAGCGUUAGGCGGAAUCACUGGGCUUAAAGCGUGUGUAGGCGGAUAUCUAAGUACCUUGUGAAAUCCCACGGCUCAACCGUGGAACUGCUUGGUAUACUGGGAGUCUUGAGCCACCUAGGGGCGAGCGGAACAAAUGGUGGAGCGGUGAAAUGCGUAGAUAUCAUUUGGAACGCCAAUGGUGAAAACAGGUCGCUGGGAGUGUGCUGACGCUGAGACACGAAAGCCAGGGGAGCAAACGGG